GACGAACGCUGGCGGCGUGCUUAACACAUGCAAGUCGAACGGAAAGGCCUGCUUUCCCUUGUGGAUUGCGGGUACUCGAGUGGCGAACGGGUGAGUAACACGUGAGUGAUCUGCCCCCAACUUGGGUAUAAGCCUGGGAAACUGGGUCUAAUUCCCGAUAGGACUGCAGGGUGGUGCCUGUGGUGGAAAACGAUUUUCUAGUGGUUGGGGAUGAGCUCGCGGCCUAUCAGCUUGUUGGUGGGGUAAUGGCCUACCAAGGCGGCGACGGGUAGCCGGCCUGAGAGGGUGGGCGGGCACAGUGGGACUGAGACACGGCCCAGACUCCUACGGGAGGCAGCAGUGGGGAAUAUUGCACGAUGGGCGGAAGCCUGAUGCAGCGACGCCGCGUGGGGGAUGACGGCCUUCGGGUGGUAAACUCCUUUCGGCCGCGAGGAAGCCACCUGGUUGGAAGGGUGGUGACGGUAGUGGUAGAAGAAGCACCGGCUAACUACGUG
rnacentral:rRNA from 1 species